AUGAUGGCAGCUGAGGAGCUGAGAAGAGCACGUCUCACUACGGAAAGCAUCUGCAUAACUUGACAAGCCUAAGCAGUGUCAAGCUUUCAAAAUAAAGCUAAAAAUAGAAGGGGAAAUCUUGGCGUGAAGCUGGAGGAUACAUCUCAAGACUGUCUACUGUGCUCAUCUUUCCAAAACUAGCGUUACCAAGGUGUCCAGAAUUCCAUAAGCAGUGAUAAGUCUGAUAAGAAAUAAGAACUUGCGCUCUGAAAACAGGCUUCACAAUCAGCAGUCGUACAAGUUGUCCCGAAGUAUCACUGGAGUUGCUGGGGAGCCCUCCCWGUAGGCUGUGAAGACAUCUUUGCAUCAGAGACUGAAAGUAGUGAGUGCCAAAGGAUCAGAGUGAACAACUGCUUGUCUGGAUUUGUUGCUUAUCAUCCUAUUUGUGGUGUUCUGUGAACAGACAUUCYUGAGAUCAACUGUAUCCCCCUUGCUGGAGUACUACUGAGAAGAAAAAUGUGUUACUGAUGUUUUAAAGCAAGUUCAUGGCACUGAGGUAGCAUGUGCUGCGAAGACUAAAUCCUGUGAAACCUC